rnacentral:rRNA from 1 species
AUGAACGCUGGCGGCGUGCCUAAUACAUGCAAGUCGAGCGAACAGACGAGGAGCUUGCUCCUCUGACGUUAGCGGCGGACGGGUGAGUAACACGUGGAUAACCUACCUAUAAGACUGGGAUAACUUCGGGAAACCGGAGCUAAUACCGGAUAAUAUAUUGAACCGCAUGGCUCAAUAGUGAAAGACGGUUUUGCUGUCACUUAUAGAUGGAUCCGCGCCGCAUUAGCUAGUUGGUAAGGUAACGGCUUACCAAGGCAACGAUGCGUAGCCGACCUGAGAGGGUGAUCGGCCACACUGGAACUGAGACACGGUCCAGACACCGACGGGAGGCAGCAGUAGGGAAUCUGCCGGAAGGGGCGAAAGCGUGACGGAGCAACGCCGCGUGAGUGAUGAAGGUCUUCGGAUCGUAAAACUCUGUUAUUAGGGAAGAACAAAUGUGUAAGUAACUAUGCACGUCUUGACGGUACCUAAUCAGAAAGCCACGGCUAACUACGU